rnacentral:rRNA from 1 species
UAGGGAAUCUUCGGCAAUGGACGAAAGUCUGACCGAGCAACGCCGCGUGAGUGAAGAAGGUUUUCGGAUCGUAAAACUCUGUUGGUAGAGAAGAACGUUGGUGAGAGUGGAAGGCUCAUCAAGUGACGGUAACUACCCAGAAAGGGACGGCUAACUACGUGCCAA